UGUCAUGCAAAGGAAGAAUCAGCUGUUCGUGUAGACAAAAAGAAAAUUCGGUUUACGUGGAAGACAUCAAAUAAUUGUAGUAAAUAAUAGCUGAAUAUAUCAAUUAAUUGUAAUUUUCAUUGUUGUAAGAAAUAUUUCACAAAAAGCAUUAUGAUUGAAGUAACAGAUUUGCAAAAAAUCGGUAUUGGCCUGGCCGGAUUUGGCGUCUCCUUUCUAUUUUUGGGUGUGCUGUUUCUAUUCGAUAAAGGUUUAUUAGCAAUCGGCAAUUUACUUUUUCUAAGCGGCCUUGCCUGUGUAAUAGGUGUUCAACGUACAUUCCGGUUUUUCUUUCAAAGACACAAAGUUAAGGGGACUACAGCGUUUUUUGGCGGAAUUUUUGUAGUACUACUUGGUUUUCCAAUGAUAGGCAUGGUUAUUGAACUCUAUGGAUUCUUUGUGUUAUUCAGCGGAUUCUUCCCAGUUGCCAUCAAUUUCUUAGGGCGGGUGCCUGUGCUAGGCUCUGUACUGAAUGCGCCAUUUAUACAAAAGCUUGUACAAAAACUUGGUGGUGAUGCAAAUCGAACGACGGUAUAGUAGAACUCCAAACAAUUUUCCCACUAAGGAUUAUUUUAAUGUAUUAGUUAUUUCUCCGAUGGCUUGAAUUUAAAGAGCUCUAGCUAUUUUGUAUAAAGAUAACAGAUUCCACUUUCACAUGAGAACACCCGACUUAAUGGCGAUUUUUGUAUGCUCAAUUUGAAAACGGACAUACACAUUUGAGUACUCUGCGGUUGCAACAAAGGUGACGGCGAAUGUGGUAUAUGAGCGAUAUGUAUACUUUCUACAAAAUAAAUUAAAUGAAAAUUAAUAAUCAUUGA